rnacentral:rRNA from 1 species
CAAGUCGAACGAGUUCUCGUUGAUGAUCGGUGCUUGCACCGAGAUUCAACAUGGAACGAGUGGCGGACGGGUGAGUAACACGUGGGUAACCUGCCCUUAAGUGGGGGAUAACAUUUGGAAACAGAUGCUAAUACCGCAUAGAUCCAAGAACCGCAUGGUUCUUGGCUGAAAGAUGGCGUAAGCUAUCGCUUUUGGAUGGACCCGCGGCGUAUUAGCUAGUUGGUGAGGUAAUGGCUCACCAAGGCGAUGAUACGUAGCCGAACUGAGAGGUUGAUCGGCCACAUUGGGACUGAGACACGGCCCAAACUCCUACGGGAGGCAGCAGUAGGGAAUCUUCCACAAUGGACGCAAGUCUGAUGGAGCAACGCCGCGUGAGUGAAGAAGGCUUUCGGGUCGUAAAACUCUGUUGUUGGAGAAGAAUGGUCGGCAGAGUAACUGUUGUCGGCGUGACGGUAUCCAACCAGAAAGCCACGGCUAACUACGUGCCAGCAGCCGCGGUAAUACGUAGGUGGCAAGCGUUAUCCGGAUUUAUUGGGCGUAAAGCGAGCGCAGGCGGUUUUUUAAGUCUGAUGUGAAAGCCCUCGGCUUAACCGAGGAAGCGCAUCGGAAACUGGGAAACUUGAGUGCAGAAGAGGACAGUGGAACUCCAUGUGUAGCGGUGAAAUGCGUA